rnacentral:rRNA from 1 species
UACGUAGGGAGCAAGCGUUGUCCGGAAUCAUUGGGCGUAAAGCGCGCGUAGGUGGCCAUGUAAGUCCGCUGUGAAAGUCAAAGGCUCAACCUUUGAAAGCCGGUGGAUACUGCAUGGCUAGAGUACGGAAGAGGCGAGUGGAAUUCCUGGUGUAGCGGUGGAAUGCGCAGAGUAUCAGGAGGAACACCGAUGGCGAAGGCAGGUCUCUGGGCGAUACUGACGCUGAGGAGCGAAAGCUGGGGAGCGAACAGG